GGAGACAGAAAGGGCCAGUAUCCGCUAGGGAGGUGAAGGCGAGUCCGAACUACCGCCAAUCAGCGUGCAGCAUGUGGAUUAACGUCAUGAGCAUCUUGGCCCUCCUAUUGGUCCUCCUCAUACCAGCAGCCAUGACAUCUAGAACUCCAUGGAACAUUCAAGGCCCGGAGUGUGUGAUUGACGCAGACCCCAACCUCCACCCCGUCCUGGGCCAAUAUGUCAGUUUCCUCCAGUUUAAAAAUGUACUUAAGAUGAUCAAGCACCAGAAACAUUUUUUCCUUGCCUUCCGUGGCUCAACACGCCACGAAGACAUCGACUGCAAUCUACGAUCAAAACAUCUUUACAGAGUCACCCAGAGUGAAGAGUCGGCCUAUUACUUUGACCCUCUAGACGAGCCCUCCUCCUCCCCCUCCUCCUCCAGAAUGAUUCAGUGCUCCCUCGCUAACGAUCUUUUUGCAUUGUCAAUCGGCUCCUACGGCUUCAUCUCCUGUGCUAGAGAAGUGUCCCUGGCGUCAACACAGGCGGCGGAAUGGCUCGACUCUCUUCCCUUCGAACACACGCUGCUGGUGGCGGCAUGCUCGGGGACGUUGGUUGCCGUGGCGGUAUUGGUUGGGGUGGGGGUUUGUGUCUACAAGCGGACAGGGUUCAGAUCUAAAAUGUAUAUAACUUGAGGUGGGGUGGGCUCAGUUGAGAGUUGGUAGGGUGUUGGUGAAGGAGAUAACGUGAGGAUAGUAGAAUUAUAGUGAUAAGGGUGGUAAUGGGAGUGAGGGUGAUGGGGGUAAUAUUGUAGUGGUAGUAGAGAUGCUGAUUGUAUAAGACUGCAGUGAUGGUGACAAGGGUUUUGUUUUGUUCUUAUUUUGCUUUAUUGCCCAAAGGCCAAGAUUACAUCACAUUUCUUAUACUAAAAUUAGCAAAGCAUUAGCCAGCUGAGCCGAAGCUCCCUAGUGGACUGGAGAAACUGAAUACAUUGGUUCACACACACACACACACACACACACACACACACACACACACACACACACACA